GAUGAACGCUGGCGGCGUGCCUAAUACAUGCAAGUCGAGCGAACAGACGAGGAGCUUGCUCCUCUGACGUUAGCGGCGGACGGGUGAGUAACACGUGGAUAACCUACCUAUAAGACUGGGAUAACUUCGGGAAACCGGAGCUAAUACCGGAUAAUAUAUUGAACCGCAUGGUUCAAUAGUGAAAGACGGUUUUGCUGUCACUUAUAGAUGGAUCCGCGCCGCAUUAGCUAGUUGGUAAGGUAACGGCUUACCAAGGCAACGAUGCGUAGCCGACCUGAGAGGGUGAUCGGCCACACUGGAACUGAGACACGGUCCAGACUCCGACGGGAGGCAGCAGUAGGGAAUCUUCCGCGAAGGGCGAAAGCCUGACGGAGCAACGCCGCGUGGGUGAUGAAGGUCUUCGGAUCGUAAAACUCUGUUAUUAGGGAAGAACAAAUGUGUAAGUAACUAUGCACGUCUUGACGGUACCUAAUCAGAAAGCCACGGCUAACUACGUG
rnacentral:rRNA from 1 species